CGUAGGGACCGAGCGUUGUCCGGAUUCAUUGGGCGUAAAGAGCUCGUAGGCGGCCACUCAAGUCGAAUGUGAAACCUCGAGGCUUAACCUCGAGCCUGCAUUCGAUACUGGGCGGCUAGAGUCUGGUAGGGGAUCUGGAAUUCCUGGUGUAGCGGUGGAAUGCGCAGAUAUCAGGAGGAACACCGGUGGCGAAGGCGGGAUCCUGGGCCAGUACUGACGCUGAGGAGCGAAAGCGUGGGGAGCAAACAGGAUUAGAUACCCUGGUAGUCCACGCCGUAAACGAUGGGCGCUAGGUGUGGGAGGUCAUCGACUCCUUCCGUGCCGCAGCUAACGCAUUAAGCGCCCCGCCUGGGGAGUACGGCCGCAAGGCUA
rnacentral:rRNA from 1 species